GCCAAUAGAAACGGGACUGUCGUCGAGACUCCGCCCAUUGUCGCGGGUCUCUGGGAGCACGAGCGAGAUGCUGCCGCCGAGAGCCGCCCCGGGACGGAGACUGCGCUUGCCUCGCCGCCGCGGUGUGAGUGGAAUAACCCUCGCAGGACUGCCCGUGUAUUUAUACUUUCCGUGCACAUUUGCGCGGGUAACUUCCCGUGCUCAAUACGAGCACGUGUAAUAUUCCGUGCACAUUUGCACGUGUAUUAACCCUCGCAGGAUUGCGAGUGUGUUAUAAAUUUACCCUCGCAGAAUCGCGAGUGUACACUUUCCGUACUCACUACGAGCACGUGUGUCCCUUUAAAAUAACCCCACACCGUGUUCAGGCAGGUGUGGACUCCUCCCGGACGCAGGGACGGCUCCGGCAUUGUUUCGGUGAAGCCACGUGCAUGCAUUCUGUGCACCGCCUGUUGUAUUAGUUGCUGCCCUUUCAUAAUGUUCCUCAACUGAUACCCGAACCUGUAUUCAAGUCACUUUUGGAGUGCUAAAACCCUGUCUCUCACCGGUGUAAUAGUAGUUGUUUUGGACCUUGUUGUCCCUUAACUAACCUCGGGCUGCCUCGGUGACAUUUUUGCGUAGUCGAGCAGGAUAUCAGCUAUGGAGGAAUUAUUUAGAGGGUUGAGGAAUACCUCUGCAGCAACAUGCUGUCUUGCAGUAGUGUGGAUCGCGGGGUGUUUCCUUCUGGCCGUUUGCUUUAAGUUAGCGCGGGAUGUGCCUAAACUUGAUCUCCAAAUAAAGGAAGAAGUUUUGCGGCGAAACAAACGCGCGGGCUUUUGAAGCGAACGCCCCCUCCGCCCCCCCGCCUCUCGACACUGCAAACCGUGUUGAUGAAACAGAGAGGAUGUGCGUCCUCUCAUUGAAAUGGAGGCGCGUACGUGCUUUGUUCGUGCGGCCCCGUGUGCCGAGGGUGAUCGGAUACUGAUAUGGAUUCUUGGUACUUUGGCUACACUUCCCCUUAAAUUAUCUUAUCGAUACAGUCCUCUGAAUCAUCUGGAGAAUGAUGCAGAAUGCAAAGAAGAACAAAGCCAGGGUCCUUACUGCGCUCAUUGAGACCUGAUGUUUAAAACAGAAAGGUGAGGAAUGUUGGAAAGUAAGAUGUGGGAAAGCAAGAUGUGCGGUUCCAGCCACCUGGAUGAUAAAGGAAGAUCAAUACUAACAUGACCAUCUGGACGGUCAAAGGCAUAAUACUAACAUAAUAAUAUAUCAAGGGCCUUGGACAUAUUACUUUGAAGUAUGUUUCUCGUAAUUGUAAAAAGUUAUAGCCCAGACUCGUGAGAAUGGUAUCUCGGGCCGGAUAACCGCCCCCAAGUGCAUGGGAUGUGUGAAUGUCCUUGGGCCUGGUCUGUGAAUGAGUGCAAAAACAAGUGAGACAAACAUCACACGAGUUUAGUGUGUUCUUAACAACCAUUAGUGGAAAAGCACCUUUUUGUAAACAUCUUGGCCCAGGCCUGUACCUGUAAAUCCUGUAAGUUGUCAACGGUGAAUAAAGAAGGCAGCCCAGGCCUAGGUCAGCUCUCGGCUUGGCCAGGCCCUGCGCUCCUUCCUGA